rnacentral:rRNA from 1 species
UACGUAGGGGGCAAGCGUUUGUCCGGAUUUAUUGGGCGUAAAGAGCGUGUAGGCGGCCAUACAGGUCAGCUGUGAAAACUCGAGGCUCAACCUCGAGACGUCGGUUGAAACCGUAUGGCUAGAGUCCGGAAGAGGAGAGUGGAAUUCCCGGUGUAGCGGUGAAAUGCGCAGAUAUCGGGAAGAACACCCGUGGCGAAGGCGGCUCUCUGGGACGGUACUGACGCUGAGGAGCGAAAGCGUGGGGAGCAAACAGG